AUUGAACGCUGGCGGCAUGCCUUACACAUGCAAGUCGAGCGGCAGCGCGGGGGCAACCCUGGCGGCGAGCGGCGAACGGGUGAGUAAUGCAUCGGAACGUACCCUGGAGUGGGGGAUAACGCCGCGAAAGCGGCGCUAAUACCGCAUAUGCUCUGAGGAGGAAAGUGGGGGACCGCAAGGCCUCACGCUCUGGGAGCGGCCGAUGUCCGAUUAGCUAGUUGGUGGGGUAAAGGUUUACCAAGGCGACGAUCGGUAGCUGGUCUGAGAGGAUGAUCAGCCACACUGGGACUGAGACACGGCCCAGACUCCUACGGGAGGCAGCAGUGAGGAAUAUUGGUCAAUGGGCGAGAGCCUGAACCAGCCAUCCCGCGUGCAGGAAGACGGCCCUAUGGGUUGUAAACUGCUUUUGCGCAUGAAGAAUGUUACCGACGUGUCGGUAAGUGACGGUAAUGCGUGAAUAAGCAUCGGCUAACUCCGUGCCAGCCGCCGCAGUAACAC
rnacentral:rRNA from 1 species